rnacentral:rRNA from 1 species
ACGGAAGGCAGCAGUGGGGAAUAUUGGGCAAUGGGCGAAAGCCUGACCCAGCAACGCCGCGUGAAGGAAGAAGGUUUUCGGAUUGUAAACUUCUUUUAUCAGGGACGCAGAGAGUGACGGUACCUGAUGAAUAAGCCACGGCUAACUACGUGCCAGCAGCCGCGGUAAUACGUAGGUGGCAAGCUUUAUCCGGAUUUAUUGGGUGUAAAGGGCGCGUAGGCGGGGAUGCAAGUCAGAUGUGAAAUCCAUGGGCUUAACCCAUGAACUGCAUUUGAAACUGUAUUUCUUGAGUGUCGGAGAGGUAGACGGAAUUCCUAGUGCAGCGGUGAGAUGCGUAGAUAUUAGGAGGAACACCAGUGGCGAAGGCGGUCUACUGGACGAUAACUGACGCUGAGGCGCGAAAGCGUGGGGAGCAAACAGGAUUAGAUACCCUGGUA